GAUGAAGAACGUAGCGAAAUGCGAUAAGAAAUGUGAAUUGCAGAAUUCCGUGAAUCAUCGAAUCUUUGAACGCACAUUGCGCCCUCUGGUAUUCCGGGGGGCAUGCCUGUCCGAGCGUCAUUUGCAACCCUCAAGCCCGGCUUGUGUGAUGGGUGCCGUCCCCUACGGGACGCGCCCCGAAGGCAAUGGCGGCGUCGCGGUUAUCCGAUCAGCCAAAGUGUAUGGGGCUUUGUCACUCACUUUACGGCCCGGACCGGCGCCAGUCCGAAUCAAUCUUUUUUCUAAAGUUGACCUCGGAUCAGGUAGGGAUACCCGCUGAACUUAAGCAUAUCAAUAAGCGGAGGA
rnacentral:misc_RNA from 1 species